rnacentral:rRNA from 1 species
AGAGUUUGAUCCUGGCUCAGAACGAACGCUGGCGGCAUGCCUAACACAUGCAAGUCGAACGAAGUCUUCGGACUUAGUGGCGCACGGGUGCGUAACGCGUGGGAAUCUGCCCUUGGGUGCGGAAUAACUUCUCGAAAGGGAUGCUAAUACCGCAUAAUGUCGUAAGACCAAAGAUUUAUCGCCCAAGGAUGAGCCCGCGUAAGAUUAGCUAGUUGGUGGGGUAAAAGCCUACCAAGGCGACGAUCCUUAGCUGGUCUGAGAGGAUGAUCAGCCACACUGGGACUGAGACACGGCCCAGACUCCUACGGGAGGCAGCAGUGGGAAUAUUGGACAAUGGGCGAAAGCCUGAUCCAGCAAUGCCGCGUGAGUGAUGAAGGCCUUAGGGUUGUAAAGCUCUUUACCCGGGAUGAUAAUGACAGUACCGGGAGAAUAAGCACCGGCUAACUACGUG